rnacentral:rRNA from 1 species
CACGUAGGGCGCAAGCGUUGUCCGGAAUUAUUGGGCGUAAAGAGCUCGUAGGCGGUCUGUUGCGUCCGCUGUGAAAACUCGGGGCUUAACCCCGAGCCUGCAGUGGAUACGGGCAGACUAGAGGUAGGUAGGGGAGAAUGGAAUUCCCGGUGUAGCGGUGAAAUGCGCAGAUAUCGGGAGGAACACCGGUGGCGAAGGCGGUUCUCUGGGCCUUACCUGACGCUGAGGAGCGAAACGUGGGGGAGCGAAACAGG